rnacentral:lncRNA from 1 species
AAGAACUAACUGGCCUUGAGGGCUUAGAAAGGGCACAGUACAUCUAGUAGAGAUGGAGAUACUCUGGUGUAGAGAUGACCCCCAAGAGGGCGAAGCCUAAAUUCCUUCAUCCCUUUCGGCAUCCCCAGCCCCAACAGAAGACCUGCUGCCUUCCCUCCAUCUGAGGCUACUCCAGUCAGUCUUGUCUCCUGUAUUCCAGGCGGUGGGGUGGGGGUGGGAAUUUUCAAUGCUGAAAGGCAAAGUCCAUCACGUGAGGUUUCACGGUAUUUCCCUCUCCACCUUUGCAUGCUUCCUCUUUUGUUCAUUCCCUGUCUGUCACAUCAGACAAGGGUAGGUUCUGUGUGAUCCUCUUUGUACUUCGCCUGGUAUGUUUAAGGGUUACUGGGGAUGAUGAUAAUAAUGUUGGGAAAAAUGCCCAUGGCCCCAGCAAAAGUACACAUUCUCCUUCUGAUCCUCAGCUUGGUAAUAGAGGGUGCAUUAAGGAUAUAUCCACUCAACUUUCUCUAAACAGCUCUAGUAUUAAUGGAAAUUUUAAUGAAAAACUAAGCCUUGA